ACUUUCGGUCUCAGCCUUUGUCCAGCCUCACUAUGCAGUGUAUGUAUCACCUUCUGAACUAAAGAAGCAGUUCACACUUGACCUAGAACUUGAAGUUACCUGUGACCACUACUUAUAAAAAUCUUACUACUGGAUAUGCCAAAAGAAUUUCAUUGUCUGAAGAGAGAUGACACGAAAUGGAAAGCCCAGAUCUCCAGAAAGAAAUGAAGAGAACCAGAAAAGAAAAAUGUGAAAUUGACGAUAUUCUCAGAUACGAUCUAUCCAAGACAACUUACUGGAGGGUGGCAUCAUCAUCCUACAAAGUACCAUCCUUCAAUUAGUGUUCUGUCCUGAGGUUAAAUGUUUCAAGGAUUUAAUUCUGGAAAUGAUAUACAGAUGGGAGAGGUAAGUUUUUUUUUCUUUUAACAACUUUUUUUUGGUA